GGCAGAAACUCCUGAGAGAAGGAGCCACAAGAGUCAGCCUUGGUGGGAGCACAGAGAGCCCAGGGGACAGAGGUGGAGAACUUGAGACCAGAGGAGCUCUAGCCACCAGAGGUAGCCCAAAGAAGAUGCUCAAGGAAGCCAUGGAAGGAAGCACCAGGCUAGGCUCAUCAGAGGGAUUAAGGGGACUAGGAGAGGAAGAGGUCAGGGACAACCUAAGAAGGUGGAGAGGUGAUGGGAAGAACUGAAACAGAGGGAAGACAUAGAGCUGGGAAGACUGUGAGCUUGAAACUGGGGCUUAACAGGGCUAAUGUAGUCAGCCGGCUGGAAAAGGCAGGAGCUAGAGGCCACUGGGGGAAGGGUGAGAGGAGAUGGCUGGAGGCUGUUAUACUUGG
rnacentral:lncRNA from 1 species